rnacentral:pre_miRNA from 1 species
AGCGGCUGAAGCUGCCAGCAUGAUCUGAUCUCUCUCUCUCUCUCUCUCUCUCUCUCUCUCCUCCCCUUUUAGGGUUAAUAUCAGAUCAUGUUGCAGUUUCAUCUGCU